GUCAGGAGGGUCCUGUUCCUGAAAAAGAAAUGAAAUGAGUCAUUCCAUGGUCAAGUAUUGACGAAUAAUACAGAUAGAGAUUGGGUGACUUACUUGUUUCAGGGCAAUCUCUUGCCUCUGACAGGAAGAUGCCGAUGGAACCACGGGCUGAUCGGCUGGAGUUGCCGAUGGGAUUAUGUUAGCUGAAAGAAUAACAGAAAUAAUUAUAAGACAGAGAAAGUAGGUUCAUCGGCAAUGAUUUCAUAGAAGGUGUGUUACCUUGAGGGGGAGCAGUACUUGUUUGGAUGGAAGAAACUACCGAUGCUAUAAUUGAACCUGUUGGAUCGGUAGUUUGCUCAUGCACGUCAGCCAAUGUGUCUUCCGGCUGAGGUACUUCUGGUUGGGGCUCUUCUGGUUGGAGUUCUUCCACUUGGGGUGCUUCUUGCAGCCGAGGAGGAGAUGGUGCUUGUUGCGUGUGGACUUCUGGAGAGGAAGGAGAAGAUUCCACUGGGAUUGGAGACACUAGGGGAGGAGAAGGUGUUGCCGUCCUCUGGCGCUUUGCUUGUGAUCUGGUGCUCUUGGAGCCUUUCCUUUUCGCUUGACUAGACUGGGGGGCAUCGGCACUUGUGCUUCUGGUCCUUACCGAUGCGCCGGUAUGCUCAUACAACGAUAGAAAUUCGUGAGUACAAGUGUAACAGAUGUAGGAAUGAAAUCAGUAUGGAUGAAAGGGUUUGAAAAUUUACCUUGAAAGCCUGUGCUAAAGUAGAGGCGGCUACCGAUGGAGAUGUCUUCGUCCUCUUGGUGGUGACUUUCUUGAGGCGCACACCUCGAUGCAUUAUAGCGGCCAAAGUGGGGGCGUUGUUGCGAUUGAAGAGAUCGGACCUGAUGGAAAAGGCUCAAUCGGCUUGCCACUCCUACUGACCGAUGGUGGUGUGUUGUCGACCUAUGUAUGACAAAGAAAGGGAGUUACCGAUUGAAAAGGACAGUGAAGAAAUUAAAACAUCGGUAUUGAAGUACUUACAGUAUUAUCAGGGACUUUGUACUGGGGAUCGAUCAUGCCGCGGUACGUAAGAGCCGAUUUGCAGAACAAAUGCUCUUUCCAUUCCUCCCACCAUUGUUUGUACGCCUGGGUAAUGAAGAGAGCCGGAACCCACUCUAAUAAAUCUGCAUCUGUAUCGGCACUCGGUGGCAGUUGAACUAUCCUGGUCCACUCGAGAAGGCUGGUGAUGGUUUCCCUGGGUUUUAUCACAUCGGCAUAACAGAGUGCGAUCGGCAGCUGACCGAAAGCUAGUUGACGGGCUAGUGCCGAUGGGUUGUAAAAUUUAUAGGUUUGGUUCGAGGCUUUCCCACUGCCAAAGAAGUUUACUGGUAUAGCUCUGGGAGUGAUCAGUGCCAUCAUCACAUUGUGAUCCUUGUUGAGAGCAUCAUUGAAUGGAUGGAAGACCAAAGGAAACAUGGUGUCUAGGUCUUCAUAAGGCAUCCAUGCUCGCUGUUCCCUGGUCAGGCCUUCGUACAGGGUCUGGAAGAAUCGGCUGACCUGGUCUGCGUUGCCACCUGUGCCAGGCAGAACUAUGACAGCCUCGCCAAAGUUCAGAGGAGGACGAGUUGCCGAUUCUUCUUCAUCUAAUUCAUAAUCCUCGGCUAUAUCCCUGGGGAAACGUUGAGCGAAGAGGUUGAACUCAAGACGCUUGUGCAAAUGGAGGGUAAGCCACAUAUUGAUAAACCACCACGGACCCCCUAAGUUGCCGAUGGGUUGGCCGAGCAGGAGUUUUCUGGCUACUUGAUGGAGGAGGUGGUAAGCCGAGCCGAGUAGGUAUCGACCGAGGGGAAAUCGGCCACCAUUAGCUAAUCUCUCUGUUGCCGAUAGGUAGACAGAGGUUGGUCCUGCCGAUCGACCGCAGAACACAAAUUUGUCCAACCACAUGUUCAGAAAGGUGGUUUGUUCCUUUAUGUUAACAGGCCCCGUCCUACGAUACUUCUGAAUAUACCCAGACCAGCCGCCGAUAGCGCGGGUUUCCACCUUGGCACUAGGUGUGGUAUCAAAUAUGUGGCUACUAUCGGCAGUGGAUACAUCCAAACCGGUGAGCAUAAGCACAUCGGCAAGAGUGGGAGAAGCAGGGCCAUGGCCGAAGACAAAGGCAUUGAGUGUGUCUGACCAGAAAUAUGAUGUAGCAAUCAGCAGCGACUCAUUCCUAUGCAUAUCGGCAAGGGACAGCCUGAUGCAUUGAUCCAGUUUUCGCUCGCCCCACUGGACCUCAUUCGAAUGGCUGACUCUCAAGAACCAAUCCUUCCAUCCCACGGUAUGACUGGGCCAGGAACAGAAGGUAUCUUUCCACAGAUCUAGGGAAAAAUUCUCGGCUCUAAAGGGGAUCUUGUUUGUUUCUGCGUUGAUUAGAUCAGUGGGAUCUGGGUUCCCUAGCGGACCGAGACAUUGGAGGUGUGGCUGAUCGGUAGGGAUGACAAUUUUAUUGGACGGAUCCUAAUGGUUUUUGGGGUAAAAAGAAGAACAAAAAAAAGGGGGGAAUGUUCGUAAAAUAAAUUGCGGAUGAACAAGAAUAUGGUAAAAGUACAAGAGGUAGGGUGAUGAACUGACCUCGGGAACAGCAAAGUUGAUGGCCAUCUCCUUGCGAGAAAGAUGAUCGAAGACUUUGAGGUUGGUGAAGAAAGGGCUUCGUUGGAGUUCUUAGAGCUCUCGAACAGCGCCGCCGCUGGAAAAGUGGAGUUGGGGCUGUAGAAUGAUGCGGUGGAGAAGGAGUACCCGAGAAGAAACUAUUUAUAGGACAAAACGGGCAAGAGCAAAUCUGAUUUAUCUCUUCGCCGUAUCCGUGAAAUCCGAGAGUGCUCAGGUGGAUAUGGUAACUGUUCGCACGAUAAUCAAGGGAUUGCGUAGGUGAUUUAAUAGGAAGCGGUCAUAAUCUAGAGAUAUUUCACUGUGCGGGAUUUCCUAGUCGUUCCAUCGGCAGCGCCUUGUAACAGUAAUAUUGCCGAUGAGCGAAUAAAGUGGAGAUGUCCGUUUGGAAGGUUAAGAUACUUCACUGUGCGGGAUGUCCUGGUCAAUCCAUCGGUAGUUCUUUGUAACGGUAACAUUGCUGAUGGGCGAUUAAAGUGGAGAUGUCCGUUUGGGGGGUUGAGGAAUUCGAGGAAUCUGCGGAGGAAUCGGACCAAGGUUGUUCAGAUUCGGGCUGUCGGUUACCAAAUUGGGAGAAUUAAUUGCGGAAAGGCAUCAUUACUGCAGAGAAUUUUGGAGCAUUAAUGAUUUCAUACUCCAAAAUUGGGGGGCAUGUGUUGACACCGUUUUUGGACACGUACCCAGGAUCGGUAGAGUGUAGAUCGGCAAGAUGAGGCAACAGUGACUGGUCUGCAAGAGAGUUGCCGAUGAGGGUGGUUGCCGAUAAAGGGACAGUUGAAUGUGGCUAAGUCUAUGGGUGGUGAUGUGUUUGUGCCGAUGGUCAGCAUCAAUCCGUGCCGAUGGCUACGAUGGGGGUUUGUCGAUGAUUCGGAAGAGGAACCUGAAGGUUGCCGAUUGGCUUGUGGUGGUGUCCCAGUUUGUCACGGGAGGAUAGUUUUAUGUUUUUCUUAGUUAUUUAGAUCGUUUUGUAUACAGAUUCUGUUUAAUUUGGAAUUCGAGUUCUAGUCGUGUCUGAUUGUAGCUCUUUGAGCAGAGUAUAAAUGUAGACCCCAGGGCCUUGUAAUUGGAAUCUAUCUAUCAAUCAAUCAAACACAAGUUUUUACUCAUAUUCCAGCAUCUACUUUUUCGACGACUUCGUCAUAUUUUCCUUUUUAUUACGAGUUCUUAGGAGUUCGUCGACUUAAACUCGGCGUAUUCUCAAGUUCCGCGUGAAUACCUCUUGGCCGUGGCAUCCGGCCGCAUCGCUGUUGUCGGGACCAAAGUAUUCGAGUUAUCACCUUUGCCGAUAGUAAGGUUAAAUCGGUUGGCACGCCUUAACGUUUGAAUCGGGUAUUAGCCCUUUGUGUUUGCAGAUCCAGCUUUUGCAUCAACAGAUAACUAUUUACUUGUUGAGAUUGUCUUUUGAAGAAUUCAAAAUUACAACAAAACAAAACGAAUUGUGACCUUUGGUCGUUAACAUCGUCUAAGCCUGUGACUUGUGAGCACAAGUGUUCGUCGCUAAAACUCUUUAGCGAUCGAUUAUGUGUCCCAAAACUAGCUAUUAGCAACUCCAAACUUAGACGUCUGCUUAAAGUGACUUUUAGUGAGACUAGUAGAUGCUUUUGGGUUACGGUUAGGGAUGAAAACGGAUCAGAUCGAAGCGGAUAAUAGCUUUUCCAUAUCCUAAUCCUUUUUUUCAUGAUCGGAUUCGGAGCGGAUCGGAUAUCACACGGAUUUGGAUACGAAUGCGGAUUUUUUAGACCUAAAAAAUGGUACGGAUUCGGACCGAUAUCGGAGCGGAAGCAGACUUUUUAAAAUCGGAUAAUAUGUGCUUAUGUGUUGUUUUUUAGAAUGAGAAAUAAUUCAUUAACCAAAGUCAUAAAACAGUUGUGCAACACAAAAUAAUCACCAUCAAUCCACCACUUUGAUUUAAGAUCUCAAAAUUUAAUACAAGUUAGCCGUUUGAAUUUAAGAGUAGAAAAAAUGUGUGAAAUAAGUAAAUAUUCUUAAUUAGACAAAACUUUGUCUUCGCUCUUUGCCUUGUACUAGUCCUUUGCUUUGGUAGAAUUAUUUCAUUAGACAAGCUUCGCUAUCGGCUAUAAUAUAAUAAUGCUUGUGUCAUAUGUACUAGGCUAACUUAUAUUCUUUUCACUUAUGCUCCUUAAAACAUUCGGAUAUCCUAUUAUAAGUGUCCGAUAAUCCCUGUUCUACUAUCGGAUAAUCCAUAUCCGUCGGAUUUCACCAAUCCAAUUUCCUACACUGCAUCCACCUAUAAUCGAAUUCGGAUCAUCCAUAUCUGCAUGGAUAUUAAAAAUAUUUAUCCAUAUCCUUAAAAUUCAUAUUCGGAGCGGAUCGGAGCGGAGGAUUAUCCAUACCACUUUAAACCCUAGUUACGGUGUAGUGACUCUUAAAUUUUGUCCUCUAGUUUCCUUAGAUACCAUUUCCCCUAAGUUUUCGUAGGUAGCAUCAAAACUACAAUAGAUGUUGUAGGAACCGUGACACCUAAGAGGGAAGGAGGUUUGUUUUAGACAAUGGAUGACUUAGGCUUUCUAAAACUUCUAUUUUAAACAUGGCCUCUAGUUUCCACUUAACAUAAUCUAUGCAAGAAAGUAAUCUGUUGAGAUGUGCAACUAAUGUUUUUCUAAGGGUCUUGCUAUCUCUACGACCAGAGAGUUAUUCAACCUAGGUUCAAAUCCUAUCAACUACUCUAGCAAGCUAAACGAGAAUAGUAAGCACACAACUUGGGUACAUGAUGUAAAGUGUAGAUGGUUAAUUGAGAUAGGAAUGCAAACUCUCGAACUCUAGUACUUUUAACAAGAUAUCGAUAAGCUCAUGCUUCCCUCUAAUCCUUGUCAGAGCCCCUUGCAAGGUCAAGCUCCCGGUCAGGUAAUUCUGUGGAGCCUGAGGACCUUCCCUAGACACUAAUGGGUCUUCGCUUAGCCUUCCCCUAGAUUACUCCUUGUCGUCUUCACUAUCGUGCUUCUAGCCAAAUUGUCGUGGACCUUGUUUCCUCUGGUACAUGGUGGCGGCCACAUCACAAACACUGUUUGGUGUGGUCUAGCAAGACUACAAGCCUCUCUGAGUGCAACAAUGAUGUGCGCAAAGCAUCGAGUGGUGAGAGGUGUGCAAAACAUACUAAACACUAGGCCUAAAUCUAGAGCAAAUGCAUAAAGAAGUGGUUUGACUAGACUAAGCACUAUUGCUAAUAACCUAUUCUUCUCUUAAGCGCAUAUGGCGGCUAGAGGACUGGGUAGUGUGUAUCCACACUCCUACAACAUUAGCUCUCGAACCUCUUCAAAAGAGCGGCCAUGGGGUGUAUAUAGCCCCCUAAAGAAGAAAAAUCGUUUAGGUUUUUGUGUACUCACCGGAAAGCUUUGGUGGUAAUACGAGAUAAAUCUGGUGCUGCUACGUGGCCAUUAGAUUUGUUGCCGCUGGGCACUGUUUCUCUUGUUCCUAUUUAACACACUAGAUUUUGCCUUUUUUUCAUAAAUUUGAAUGAAAGUGAUUUAAUUAUGUGUAUUGUGCACAUCUAAACAUAGCACAAGUAAUAACCCUUUUGAUUUAAAAUCCAUCAUAAAGCUAGGUACAUGUUUGAGCAUACAUGAUGGUGUAUCGGAUUUAUUGUACUGUGUAGAUUUGACUGAAAUUCAAAACUGAUUUAAAAUCAUUUGAAAAAGGCAUUGAAAUAAAAGAAAAAAAUUCUAAACACCGCAAACUCACUCUUUUAGCCCAAGAACCCCAGUUGUUGAAACCAAGUCUCUCUCAGCUCAAGCUUUCCCGGCCUGCUGUGCGUUCUCCCGCUAGGCGCAGGCGCAGCCCUCUCCUGCAGCCCAGUUCAGCAAUCAGCUGGACAUCCCCUACGUAUUCCGUCUCCCGCAGCUCAUUCCUCUCCUCUCAGGUUGGCCCGUGACGAAGCCGAUGUGGCCAGACCAACCGGCACCCUAGUGGAAGCCGCCUGCGCAAUCUCUUCGGGCCUGUUUGGUACAGCUCACAACAGCUUCAUGAGCUGUUGUGAGCUGUUUUUUUUGUCAAACACUUAUUUCCAAAACAGCUUCAUGGGUGAAGCUGUUUUUCUCCUUCUCUUACAAAAACAUAAGUUGGAUGAAGCUGAAAAAAAUAGCUUAUUGUAGCUUCUCCCUCAUUUCUCUCUCUCAACUAUGCAUGAAGUAGUUUGUGAAGCUAUUUUGUCAAACACUUUUUCCAAAACAGCUUAGCUUCAUCUAGAAAGUCACUCAUGAAGCUAUUUUCUAAAAAAACAGCUUUACUAGUGAAGUUGAGCUGUGCCAAACAAGGCCCCUCUCGCUCUCUUUUGCUCUCUGCUGUGCGCUUUGCCUUGCGGACAUAUGGACAGAGCAACCGAGCGCCGCCUAAGGGCUUGUUCGGUUACAGAAUUAAGAGGCCAGGAAUCAACCCGGUAGUGAAAGUUUAUAUAAAUUAGAAUAACAAUCCGGCCAGGAAUUCUUUCCAGAGCUUGUUCCCGGUGAAACGAACGUGGCCUAAACAAGUGUCGUUCUACCGCCACCGAGCAUCCAUGGUUGUUCUCAAACCCCUAGAUGCUUUAGCUGAGCUGUCCUCUACCUUCGCAUGCCUUCGCCUGGGGUCAACCGAGCCCAAAAACGAGAUCCUUGACGUGAAUUCGCAACACCGGUGACCUCAACCCGCCCCUCAACCGCAUACGUCCAAUUUAGAGCUGACACUCUGUUUUGUUUGUAUGUAAAAAGAAACAGGACAAAGAUUGAGACAUAAAAGUCCUCGCUCGAUCGGACAAAGCGAAGCAACUUUCAGUGUCAGCCAUCCCCACCCUCAGGCCUAAUUUACCUUGAGCUUUGUCCGUGCCUUUAUCAUGAUCUUUUUGUAUUACUUGGCCUCUUUGUUUUUCGUCCAAUCGUUAACAUAUUUUCGUUGGUUUGCCGAACAACAAUCUCAACAAAUACGAUCCCAUGCAUGUCCUAUCACCGAGAUAUGUGUCCAACACAAAUGGAAAAUGGGAAAGAAGCUAAGGUGCAUCAAUUAGGUGAUUGGUGUAACCAUCUAGGCACAAAUGACAAAAGUUCGAGGCUUGUCGCUGGCUUUCUUUGUGCCUGCCUCUUGCUUUGUAGUUGAGAUCAGUGCUAUGUUAGUUGUGCACAUAGUAUUUUGAUUUUCAGCCACAAAGUUUACAAAAGUGCAUGUUCUAGCAUUUGCUACACAUUUGUUUGUUUCAAUUCUCAAGAACAAAAGAGUGGUCGACCCGUAUGAACCCUAUGUUUGUUUUUGAGAUUCUAUUGGUAGGCGCAUGCGGACACACCACGCCCCUACACUUUCUUUCUUCUUCCUCACAAAUUAUCUUCUAUUCUUCUUCUUCUUCCUCACUCUCCCCCGUGCUUGGCUAGCUCACCCUGCCUGGCUUUGGCACCAUGGACGCCACCUCCACUACCAUCCUCGACCAUAGCCAACCCUAACUUGAGCUUCUUUUGUAGAUCCAGCACAAGGGCCCUCGCCUCCACCGCAUCCCGGGCUCCGAUGGUGCGCCUCUCACUCCGUCAUCCACUACUACCAUGGUAAUCCUGUUAGCUAAAUUGAUAGCACAUCUAUGUAAUCUUUGUUAUGGUAAGGAUCAUGCAUGAGUCGGGUAGGUUGUUGGGGGAUAAGCCUGAUCGGUGGCGUGCUAGAUCAGGACUUAACCCGGAGUCGGUCCAUGCUCGCGCCAGAGUACGCGCUGCGCACGUGGCGUGACCCGCAGUGCAACGGUGUCACGCACGGUUCGUGAUCUGGCGCGGGGAGACUUGGCAAUCAAGGCCAAGGUGUAUCUGCAUCAUAUGUAUAAAUAGCAUGAAUAAAGGACCGUGAAGCUGCGACAAUUUGGCAGCGCCAUAAUCCCGUGUUCUUCUCUGUUUUGUUUCAUCUACAUUCGCUCUCGCCGCGGUCACCACGAACACGCCGGCGUCGAGACUACGGACCAAGGGCAUCGCUCGGUUCCAACAAAUCCUAGGCUUCUCCUCCUCUUCUUCUCUGAUGGACGCCCUCAACAACUACACUUCCCAACCACCCUCUCCCACCACCGUGCGGGCAGCACCCCCACCCUCCACCACUGUCUCGACCAUGACCACCAUUCUAAGAGCGGAGCACAUACAAACCCCUUGAAACCCUGGCGAUGGCGACACGAGUGAGUUCAUCUAUAAUUUAUUUGUCGUUUAGUGUGUGCGUGUUGAAGUCUUUCUGCACGCACGUGUGGAAAGAAGCAUUUGGGUUGUCUUUGUUUUCUUCUUUGUGGACCAACUAGUAGCAUUGAUUUGGGCUUUGGCCCAAAGUCUCCGUUUCUUGGCAACUGAAAUCACUAGGCUCAACACUGCUAGCUUGGGGCUCGGAGGCUCGUUAUCGUGAAGCCCACCAUUCUAUUCUGUUCUUCAUGAUUCAUCUCGUGAACUAACUCCACUUUUAUAAAUUGCAACUAACAUCAUCUCCAAAUCUAGCAGUAUAGUUCUCACCAAAUAGAAAAUGCAAACUAUGAUAAAGUGCAUGUGUAUGUCUGCACAUAAAAGGAAAUAAACUUUGGCCACUUCUAAACAAGCCUAGUGAUAAUAUUUUACGCUUGAUGUGUCGAAGGACUUACUCCAAUAAAUUAGUGUGUGGUCGUCCAUGCCUGUUCUUGGAAACCGUUCAAUGUCAAGCACAGAUUGCUUGAGCGCGUUGCCCUGUAAAAUAAGACAUGUAUUAGUUUACAUAGGUGCAAUUAUUUUAUUACAACCACCGUACAAUAGAUAAGUGGAAAGGUCAUGUACCACUCGGUCCAAGACAGGUGCUGCUUCGAUAAGUGUCCCUUGUCGUGCUGCAAGGUCAUAUGAAGUGUCCUCAUCCUCUGAUGAUUCAAGAUACGCAUAAUCUGCUUGGGUCCACUGAAUUUUCAACCUUGUUCGUGUAAUACCCAGGUACCAAGUUAGGUAUGCACGGAAGUUGUAGUUGGUAUGUGGCUGCUCAUUUUUGUAGAGGUUGUCAUGAAACUGGUCCCACACCUCUAUGUGCUGACGGUGUAGCGUCUCAAACUUAACUAUCUUCUUCUGCUUUUAACGAUCAAUCCUGAAAUCAAACAUUAUAGAUCUCGUGACAUAAUAAAAUAAUUGAUUUGGGGCAGCAUAUAUUGUAUUGAACAUUGAAUCAAAACCUAUGUACUUUGGGGCAGCAUAUAUGGUAUUGAACAUUCCCUAAUUAUCAUCGAGCUAUGUACAUGGAUAGGGGCUGCGAUAAAUUGAUCCAAAUAAAUGACUGAGGUUCUAGGUUUAUUAGAAUUGAUUUCAGCAAAUAUGUUGGAAUGGAUUGUAGCGAGUAGGUUCCAUAUGAAAAUGCUAAUAGGUCUCAACUAUAUAUGGUUACAAGUGGUAUUAUCUAUGCAUGGCAUGUAAAUUGGACAAAAAAGACUUACUUAUGCAGCUCCACGGACGUGUCGAACGGCUGGACAAGCCAUUCCUGCCUCAAGCCAAAUUGGCAUGCAACUCUAUUUGAAAGGUGCCACUCAACAGCGUAAAAGCAAAUAAGCGGGCACCAUCAUCUUGUACAGGUCUUCAUCCUCGCUGCACAUGAUGCUUACUCCAAGAUGCAGUGCCUCAUUGUCGGUGUAUGGCUCCCAAUUAACCUGCAAGCAAAAGGCUUAUAGAGGGCAAGUUAGACCCAAUUAAGGAUCAUAUGUAGUACAAGAACAACUGCAUUUAACUCACCAUCGAGGGCCUUAGUGUGUCGAGCUCAUUGUUAUAUUGUGCGUACGCACGUGAAGUUCUGCUGAAGGGGACUUUCGCCUGGUCCCAAAGAUGGGCAAACGUCACGCUAGGCUCGGUCAGGGAGCUCGACGCCGUGGAUCACGGCGUCGAGACGUAUAACCUCGACGCCGUGUUUCACGGUGCCAACCCCCUGGGUCCAAAGAUAAAAUUUUGUCAAGCAGGAGUCCAAAUUUGUACUUUCUUCAAAAAAAAAGGCCAAAUUUUAAAAAAAUUAACCGCCUAAAACGCACAAAAAUCGAGGAAUCCACGAGUAUCACAGGCUGACGGCCAGAUUUGUUGUCACGUUUCGUUGGAUCACAAGCUAAUCUGCACCAACCUAAAAAAUUUUGUUCUUUGUCAUUUUGAGCUUAGAUUUUUUAUAAAAAAAAUUGAGCAUGAGUUAUCCAUUGUUAUUCUAACAUCAUUUUUGCACGGACUGUUUGGGCUACAUCCGUUAUUAUUAAAAAGCCUUCAAUAACCUUUUAGGCAAGUUUGAUCUCAAGUUUGACCACUCGUCUUAUUCAAAUAAAAAAUAGAGCUUGAUACAUACGUAAAAGCAACUCCAAUAACCUUUUUAUAUAUCCUUUAUUCUAACAUCAUUUUUACACGAACUGUUUUGACUUAUUUGACCUCAAGUUUGAUCACUCGUCUUAUUCAAAAAAUUUAUGCAAAUAUAGUCAAAUUUAAGUUAUUCUUGAAGAACUUUUAUUAAUAAACCAAGCCACGAUAAAAAGAAGUUAUAUUUACAUAAAUUUUUGAAUUGAGUAACUGAUAAUUUGAGAUGGAUUGAGUAACUGGUAUGCCUGCUUUGGUCCUAAUCAGGAAGCAACAAAACACAGACUUCUACAUUGCGUACAUAUAAAAAACAAGCUGCUAGUUAGGGUAACAAAUUUAGAAACAACCCUGAGACAACAACAAUACAAUAAAACAGGCUGCCAAUUGCCCGCAAUUUUUAAAAACAUACGCAAAAUAACAACAAAACAAGCUUUUACUUGGGAGGUUAAAUUUUAAAAUAACAACGAAUAACUCAUGCUCAAAAUAGCCUGCAACAUAUUUUAAAAAACCUUCCUAAUAAUAUUUUUAAAAGUAGUGAUAUUAAAUGACGGCUGCAAAUUAAAGCCACAAUCAAUAUGCAAAGUGUGAUCACUAACUGAUAUGCCUGUUGUGGUCAGGAAGCAACGAAAAACACAGACUCCUACAUUGAGAACAUAUAAAAGAACAAGCUGCGAAUUAAUUUUAAAAACAACCCCAAGGCAAUAACAAUACAAUAAAACAAGCUGCCAAGUUCGGGCAAAUUUUGAAAACAACGCCAAGAUAUCAACAAUACAACAAUACGAGCUUCUAAUUGUGAGAAUAUAAUUUUUUAAAAAAAAAACAAGGAGACAACAAUACAACAAAACAAAGCUGCAAACUGGGAGGAAAAAAUUGAAAAAAACAACCUCAAAGCAACAACAAUAAAACAAACAAACUGCCAACUUGAGGACAAACUUUAAAAAUAACCCUAAGCAACAGCAAUACGUCAAUACAAGCUGCCAACUAGGAGGAAUAAAUUUUGAAAACAACAAAACAGAUUUCAAUUGGAAGGUUAAAAUUAAAAAAACAAAGCAAGAAGAAUACAACAAAACAAAUUCCUAACUGGGGGAGAAGUUUUAAAAACGAGACCAAAGCAGCAACAAUACGACAAAACAAACUGCCAAUUUGGGGAUAAAUUUUAGAAACAACCCCCUGCAACAAUAUAGUUAGAAGUAGAGAGAGUGAGAUAGAUCGAUCGUUGCAAAAUGAUGUCUUUGUACUCCCAAAUGAACAGUGUGUACAUGCAUAUAUAUACAUGUGGACGGUUACAAGUGUGAAAGAGAGAGGGGUGAAUAGACACCCCACGGAUCGAUUAAUCCUAAUAGGUGAAUAGACACCCCACGGAUCGAUUAAUCCUAAUUUUUCACUAAAUAAUAAUUCUUAACACUCCCCCUUGAUCAAUUUGCUCCGUGUAGUCUUUACUGUUCAUCUAUUAUGGAUCAUUAUUAAUCUUUGGAAAACCCUGUGGAAAAAACCAAAGUAAUAUCGGUAUAGCAGGCAAAACUCCUUAAAACCUAGUGAGAAAAAUAAGGAGAAACACCAUGAUAUACAAUCACCAAUGUUAGUAGACCCUUUGAGAUAAACCCAAAGCCUUAGUCUAAAAACACCUUGACUGUAGGGUCAAUAUGCUUCAGGUAUCAUCUUCCAAAAAACCCCGGUGGGGAAAAUAGAUGAUAUAGCAUAUACCUUUGUGUUGAACAUUGCCUCACCAAAAACUUUAUAUGAGAAACCUCA
rnacentral:lncRNA from 1 species